UUUAGAUUGGUUUUCCGGUUUUAAUUAUAAGAAGUUCACGUUGGACUGUGAAACCGACUCCCUAAACAAAAUUUGAUUGCAUUGAAUUGAAGAAUCGUCGAUUCCGUCCUUGCUUGGGAAUAUGUCUGUAUAAGAUAGUCCUUUCGGGGUGAAAAAAAAUCAUAACUUUGAGGGUGUGUGAAGUGAAAAACCCUAACUAGCCAGAGAGUAGCCUCACUACAAUCACGCUGCCGCCCUCCUCUCUCUUCUCUCAGUUUCUUCACUUCUUCUCCCGAUAAGCUUCCGGCUCACACCAGAGUGAAGGUUCGGCUUGGGGUUUGGUUUUAGAGGUUUCCUCUCUCUUUUUCUCUCCCGCUGACCCAGUAUGGAUGGGAAAGGAUCUGCUUCAGGAAGUGUUAGUGCGCCACGGACUCUUAAUUUCAAUACUAUAUUUAAAAAUAGGCUUACGCUGAAUAAGUUCUUAGAGACAAAGAAUCCCUUUGAUAAUGAUAAAAUCACUCCCAUUUAUCAGAGAAUUUUCAGAUCUCUCAUUGGGGCUAUUUCUGAACUCGAGUCAAGAGGGAUCACUCGUGGUUACCUCGAGCCCCAUCAAAUCAUGGUUGGUGGUGGCCCUUAUUUUGAGUCUAUGAAGGCUUGGCUGUUAAAUAGACCAGAGGAGGACAAUCCGACAGCGCCUACCUACAGAGAGCAGUUUGAUUCCCUAGUACGGAUGAUCCUUGGUGAACGAGACUUCUCGAACUUGGAGUUGAAUCAUUUUCUCCACAUCACAGCUUCUGCUGCUUCUGGACGACAGAGUUUAUUCAGUUGUAGGCAACUCCAAUGGCAUCCACUACUGUUAUCAUCCACUGAAUUGCGCCAGUUAGUAUACCGUCUGUUUAUUCAUCUCAACAGGAAGGGAACAUCAAGUUGGAAAGAGGACUUCAGACAGAUGAUACAGAGGGAUGUUGAGGUUAGGGACACAGUUCUUGGGGUGGAUUACUUCUCAGAUGUUUACAACUUGAAAGGACCCCAGUACUUUGAAGAGAAUGCACUGGGGGCAUUCCUGUAUUCUGCAAUUGCCAUUUCGGAUCUGAAUGAUCAUGUCCAGAAGGCCUUCAACCAAUAUAUGAGAAAUGAGGAAAAAGGGAAGAAACUUAUGACAAUGGAGCAAAUAUUUGAUAGGCUUAUUUCCUUCUUCCCGCACUUGCUUAUUGAUGUGUAUGAUUUCCUUGUAAAGAAGGGCCUUCCAAUUGACAAUGUAAUUUGAUUGAUGCAGGGGCAAAGUUUAAUGUCUAGGAAAUGAGUCUUUAUAGUUUCUUCCGAAGAUUUAUGCUACUUUUGCAGCAAAGGGUUGUCCUGCAUCCGUCUUCCUCCCUUGGAGACAUCCGAGACUCAAUUUGAGGGAUCAGAUGGCAUCCGAUCCCCCUCAAAGGUUAUGUUGUCCGCUGAUCCAGCUUUGAAUCCGGACGCAUUCUUCCCUGGUGACUAGCGUAUUUUUUUCACUGGAGCAGGACGGAAGUAUUUGGCGUGAUAUGCGACAUGGUGAAUUGCAGUUUUUUGACGCUAUUUUUCACAGAGGCCAAGUCGUCUAUGCAGCUGAUUACUAUUAUGGAGCGAUUAUAUACCUUACUUUGUGGUGGGAGCCGUCGAAGAUGGAAUAUUCUGUUAUACGCAGACGUUAUCCAGCACAAUCUUAUUCCAAAACCAUGACUUUUGUCCACCAUGUAUGUUGUGAAAUCAACUAAAGGGGACCUUUUACAUGUUCGAAGAUUUUGCGAAUUGAAGAAAGACGACGAAGGAUCCUCCUCCUAUGGGGAGUACAUCAACACACACUUGAUGGUUUUCAAGGUACUACUCAACGAUGAAAAUGAAGAUCAAUUUGUAUCGGAGGAACAUGUGGAGUAGGUUGUGCUGAAAGGCCUUGGGGAUGAGGCUCUCUUCGUUGGGGACAAUUAUUUGUGUAUUCGUUUUGGCUUCCAACUUUGGUGGUUGUCAACCAAACGACAUAUACAAUACAGAUGAUUCCACCAAUUUAGGAUGAUAUCUGAUGAGACCAAGUUGGAAGCUAGGACUCUCAACUCUGUCGGGGUUGAAAAUGCAAGAGUGCUUAAAACUCUAUGGAGUUGCAAAAGGUGAUUUUUCUGUUGUAGUUUUCUUUAUGUAUUACCGCUUAGUGCACCAAGAUUGGAAAACUCUGCUUGCAUGGUAAACAAUGCAUUCAUUCCUGAGAAUUUUAAAA